GACGAACGCUGGCGGCGUGCCUAAUACAUGCAAGUAGAACGCAGUUGCGAACGGGUGAGUAACGCGUAGGUAACUGCCUGGUAGCGGGGGAUAAAUAUUGGAAACGAUAGCUAAUACCGCAUACUACCAGCUGGACCUGCGUUGUAUUAGCUCUGUGGUGAGGUAACGGCUCACCAAGGCAACGAGACAUAUCCGAACGGCGAGGGUGUGUGGCCACACUGGGACUGGGACCCGGCCCAGAUGCCUACGGGAGGCAGCAGUAGGGAAUCUUCGGCAAUGGGGGGAACCCUGACCGAGCAACGCCGCGUGAGUGAAGAAGGUUUUCGGAUCGUAAAGCUCUGUUGUUAAGGAAGCGGUACUUAACCAGAAAGGGACGGCUAACUACGUGCCAGCAGCCGCGGUAAUAC
rnacentral:rRNA from 1 species